ACAGCCCCGUACACAAAAAUGCACAUAUUGUGAGCUUGAUGAGUAGGGCGGGACACGUGGUAUCCUGUCUGAAUAUGGGGGGACCAUCCUCCAAGGCUAAAUACUCCUGACUGACCGAUAGUGAACCAGUACCGUGAGGGAAAGGCGAAAAGAACCCCGGCGAGGGGAGUGAAAAAGAACCUGAAACCGUGUACGUACAAGCAGUGGGAGCACGCUUAGGCGUGUGACUGCGUACCUUUUGUAUAAUGGGUCAGCGACUUAUAUUCUGUAGCAAGGUUAACCGAAUAGGGGAGCCGAAGGGAAACCGAGUCUUAACUGGGCGUUAAGUUGCAGGGUAUAGACCCGAAACCCGGUGAUCUAGCCAUGGGCAGGUUGAAGGUUGGGUAACACUAACUGGAGGACCGAACCGACUAAUGUUGAAAAAUUAGCGGAUGACUUGUGGCUGGGGGUGAAAGGCCAAUCAAACCGGGAGAUAGCUGGUUCUCCCCGAAAGCUAUUUAGGUAGCGCCUCGUGAAUUCAUCUCCGGGGGUAGAGCACUGUUUCGGCA
rnacentral:rRNA from 1 species